GGUUACACGACGCUGAAGUCUGAAGGCGAUCUUAUUGACGUCAUUUGUGGGUGACUCAAUUUGAUCCCAAGACUCUACCUCAUCAGAGGAUCAAGGGCAUAGAAAUAGCUGAGCUUUUUUUUAGAGACAAAGAAUCGAGCUUAACCCGACUUUGAUUUGACAAAGCGAUAAGCCGGCUAGAAUUACAAAACCGCCAACAUCACUAAAAAAACACCAGCAAACAAAGAAAAGAAAACAACAAAAGAUACAAUGGGUGAGCAAACCACUCGCAAGUUACAACAAAGCAACAAGCUAAGAUGAACAACUAAGGCACAUUUCUAGCUUAAAGUAGAUGAAGCCCUCCUCGACGAACAAGACAGUAAUCAGCAGCAAAAGCCGAGGCUUGGGAACGAGGAACAACCAGUAGGAGAGGAAGCGUCUUCGACAUCACCAUGGGCACAAGAGAAAAUAGUUGCAACCUCAUCCAUCUCCGAAGGGGGCUCCUUGCCCCCUCGCCUUGGCACGGAAGGCAACAAUCCAUUGGAAAAUGGAGAUGCUCCCCCGAGACCUAGGGUGAAAACAACUGCCGAGACCAACCGGGGUGCAAAAUGACCACUGCCACUGUGCUAAGCCGAGCUCAUGGAGGUAGAAACUUCGCCUGUUGAACAACACAUCACACUCAUGGAGGAGCAAAUGCACAGAUGAUGUUGCUGAUGACAAUAACCAAAGCAAUGGAGAUAGCCGAGACAAUACUAAGAAGCGACACUUAGUCUACAACGAGCACCGAGCUCAUGCCUCCCCCGACACAUCGCAGCAACCAUGGUAGGGGACCCCUGUCCCCUUCCAACACAGCCACGGAAGCAGCACACUGGCCAACCAUAUAAAAGAAGCACUUGCCAGCUGUAGAAAUAUUCAUCUCACAGUCUGCACGGACAACCAUAGCCUCCACCCUCCUCUGUUUAUCACAAGAGAUAAAUUCAUUCUCCAUAACAUAAAAAAUGUAGUCAGUAUCUUAGAAUAAUCCCAUACAUAAUGAAGAUUCAUGUGUGUUGAUUUAUAAAAUGGGUGCAAUUAACCUCCAAGUUCCUCGUUAAACUGUAAUGAAACAAAAGAACCGAAAAUAAAACCCAGCAAAGAUUGACUCCCUGAAGAGGAUCAGAUUUCACCUCUUUGCAAAUGGAAAUAAAUCUAACUGGACAUUGGUACUAACCUUCCCGCAAAAAAAAGGAAAUUGGUACUCCCUCUGUAAACCAAAAUAAGGGCGUUUAGAUUACUAAAAUAGUGAUCUAAACACUCUUAUGUUAGUUUACGGCGAGAGUACUAACCAAGCAUUGCUCCGAACAGCACCAAACAAGAAAAAUUAAACUACCGUGUAUUCAGAUAAAUAAUCAAUGUUACUCAUGCAAUCGGCUGAAGAUAUAAUAGCUGGUUGAUUUUCCCAAAUUAAUCAAUGUUACUCAUGUAGAGAACUGUACGUACAGAUUUUUUUGCUAGCCGAAACUCCAGUCAGUUAUUUUUGUUUCAAUGCAUGUCUAAUUGUACCAUUUGUUUCAAUAGGCAGUAGGUUCUAUAUAGGAUCAUGUGGUGCCAUUUUCCUGACUAGUGUUAAACUAAUACACAUCUUCAAAUGGCACGAAAGAAAUAGUUUUAUUUUCCUCUAAUCCUGACUGAGAUGUACCUGAGGUUGUUGUUCAUGUCGCAAGCAGCCAUAAAAGGCAGAGUAAUCAGAGGAUGCACCGGCCUACACUGGCAAUUCUUGUGCACUUGUCUAACUACUUGAGUUUGCUUCUAAAAAUUGUGUGGGAAAGAAAACAAUUAAAGAAAUGUAGUGUUCUCAGCUGUCACUUAGAAGUACAUGGGACUGAAAUAUGGUGAUAACAUCAGUUCCAUGGUUCAAUUGGUUAUAUGGUGUAAGCCUGAAGAAACAGUAUGACAUUCACAUUACUCCGACUAGAAUCACGACUAUUAUCAAUAUUCAUACUCUCCCAACCUGAACUUAAAAAACAGUAACACAACCAGAACUUCCAAAAGCAUUGCAUAUCUUAUACAAAUCAGAACAUUCAGAAGUCCAUGGCUGUACAACCUUAUAAACCGUGUAUUUUAGUUGAGGGAAGUAUCAUUAGUUCGCCUAGCUUUGAAUAGCUGCAAAUAGAGUUUUUUCCAUGAAAGUUGAUCUUCUUCUAUACGUAAUUGACAAAGCAUUGUAAAAACUCAUGAUUUACUUAUAUAUGUCACAUCGAGCUAUUACUAGUGGUGCCAACUAAGCUAGUAAUGAAGUGAUUCCUGAAAUAGGAGUAUGCAAGAACAAUAACUGAAAUAGUUUUCCAACAUAAAGCAACUCCCUAUGAAUGUCUUUCAAGACUGAACGUUUUAACUUAAUAUCUCUAGGAAACAUUUGAAGUAGAUGAAAGAACGAUAUAUGUGCACCGGAAUUAAAUUGGAUUUGGCUUCUGGUCAAGCCAUCGAUGCCUACAUCAUGCUUCCUUGCUCAGAAUCUCGAUUUCAGAAUGGUGAGUUUCCUCUUACAUUAUUAAAUUCGAUACAGUAACAGAUUCAUCUCUUUGUUCUUCCAUAUAUAUAUUUCAAAAAGACACUCCGGCUGACUCCAUUACUAAUAAGGAAACAAAAGUAGUUCAAUAAAGAAUGCAGGGCACCUGAAUCUAUCUAUCAAGAUGAAUGUGAGAAAACAAAUUACUACUAGUCAGACCCAGGCGCCAUGAAGGGUCGAAAACAGUGGUUUAUAAUGUUUGCCUAAAAGAAACUAUACUAGACAGGAGACUUGAAUAUACGGUAUGUGUUUAUAAUAUUCGCCAAAGAAAAUUACUGCCCGUCAGGCAUGAUCAAUGCAUAUACUUGACCAGUUGUUACUUAAAACACCAAAAUUUGAUAUUAUUUUUAUCCGUGUGAAACUUAAAUCACAAUAUGAAUAUUAAACUUGUAGUUUGGCUAUGCCCAAAACAAUUAAAGUUGGUGUGGAACAAAAACUGAAUACAGAAAUCUUGGCUUUAGCAUUGGGGACGUGACUUACCCAUAUUCAGCAAACUCAACUUCUUAAUAAAUCUAACUAAAUUCGAGCAGACGCAAUGCGAUGGUAAAUGGACACAGGACACAUGGUUAUGUGACUCGAUGGAGGACGAUACAGAAGAGCUCCAGUGGUUGGGGAUCGUCGUGAUGGGACGAGAUGUGCCCCACAUCUAGAUGAAAAAAACGCGGAGCGCUGCAUCAACCAACAUGAGCAAUAAGUAUUUAGUGAUAAGAGAUUUUUAGAAAAUAUUCAAGACAUACCCGUUUUCGUUGUAUAGCCAUAAUCCCAAAAGUUCAUGAGGCUGAAACACAGCAGAUCACUACACACAACAAUCAAACUACAUCGUAUACUUUUUGCUCUGAAGAUGUGGUAUUGUCACAAAUGCUUCCCUAUGCCCUAUAUGGAUUUGGAGACUGAUUUUCCCCCAUGUUUCAAUAAGAAAAGGAAGGAGAUAAUUUGAGAUAUACCUUACCUAGGUGUGCAAAUCUGGAACAAAUACGAACGCAGACUUGAAGCUCGUAGCACAUCAGGGGCGGCGGUCCAGUCAAAUGGAUGGAUUGAAGGACUGGAGGACCCCAGGCGUUGCUACAGGAGCGGAUCCCAAAUGGGGGCUGCUCGCCCAGAUGAGUUGCUCCCACCGCGGCCUCCUCACGUUGCUUCCUUCAGCGGCCACGAGGCCCGGGCGUGCACAACCGCCGCGGCGACUAAUAGCGCGGGACAUGGCGGACCCGUCGUGAUGCCUCCUCGCCGGCCGCUGACUGGUCCGUCGAGCCACCGUACUGCCGCCACGACCACCACAUGUGCUGACACCGACACCCCUAUAGACAAGCCGCUCACUGCGCCACCGAGGACUUGCCGUCAAGUCCAUCCGCCGCUCAUCGCAGCCGCAUGAUAUUCGCCGUCGAGAGUGGAACUGGAAACGGCUCUCAACCGAUUAGAAUAGGAUGGGAUAGGUGGGUUAGCUCCUAAUAACACGAUGAGAAAAC
rnacentral:rRNA from 1 species